UACGGAGGGUGCAAGCGUUAUCCGGAUUUACUGGGUUUAAAGGGUGCGUAGGCGGGCAUGUAAGUCUGUGGUGAAAUACCGGAGCUUAACUUCGGAACUGCCAUUGAUACUAGAUGUCUUGAAUAUUGUGGAGGUAAGCGGAAUAUGUCAUGUAGCGGUGAAAUGCAUAGAUAUGAGAUAGAACACCGAUUGCGGAGGCAGCUUGCUACGCAAAUAUUGACGCUGAGGCGCGAAAGCGUGGGGAGCAAACAGG
rnacentral:rRNA from 1 species